GGAGAGAUGGUUAAAUAGAUUAAGGCGUUGGAUUACUAAUCCGUUGUAUGAGCUAUUUGUAUCGAGGGUUCGAAUCCCUCUGUCUCCA
rnacentral:tRNA from 1 species